rnacentral:rRNA from 1 species
CACGCCGUAAACGCUGAUUACUAGGUGUAGGGGGUAUAGACUCCCUCUGUGCCGCAGUUAACGCAUUAAGUAAUCCACCUGGGGAGUACGGCCGCAAGGUUAAAACUCAAAGGAAUUGACGGGGGCCCGCACAAGCAGUGGAGUAUGUGGUUUAAUUCGAAGCAACGCGAAGAACCUUACCUAAGCUUGACAUCCUUUUGACCGAUGCCUAAUCGCAUCUUUCCCUUCGGGGACAGAAGUGACAGGUGG